rnacentral:lncRNA from 1 species
UCUCCUAGACCUGGGGGAUUUGGAGGCAGCCUGCAGGUAGACUUGGUUUCCUUCCCUGGUCUGAGGGAUCAAGAAACCCAAUAAAGCCUUCUCUGAAUGGGAGGCCCUGGAGCCCAGGGGUGAAGAGGCUGCAGCCUCUGAUCAGGAAGGUGAGGGUAGGAAUGUGUGUGGAGGAAGGUCAGCAUCUCUGCUCCCCUGGCCCGCCCCACCCCCCAAAUUCAGAUGUGCAUCUUGUGUGGAGUGGGGA